ACACCCUACGGGCGCAGCAGUGAGGAAUAUUGGUCAAUGGGCGAAAGCCUGAACCAGCCAAGUCGCGUGAGGGAUUAAGGCCCUAUGGGUCGUAAACCUCUUUUGUCAGGGAGCAAGACCUUUCACGUGUGGGAGGUUGGAGAGUACCUGAAGAAAAAGCAUCGGCUAACUCCGUGCCAGCAGCCGCGGUAAUACGGAGGAUGCGAGCGUUAUCCGGAUUUAUUGGGUUUAAAGGGUGCGCAGGCGGAGGUGCAAGUCAGCGGUCAAAUUGCGGGGCUCAACCCCGUACUGCCGUUGAAACUGCA
rnacentral:rRNA from 1 species